GUAGUCUCGCACAGAUGCAUAUCAAUAAGCGGAGGAAAAGAAACUAACAAGGAUUCCCCUAGUAACGGCGAGUGAAGCGGGAAGAGCUCAAAUUUGAAAUCUUAAAGGGUUUCCCUUUACGAAUUGUAGUUUAAAGAAGUGUUUUCUGUUGAGGUUUUGGUAAAAGUUCUUUGGAAUAGGACAUCAUAGAGGGUGAGAAUCCCGUAUUUGACCUUUACUUUCAACUUUGUGAUACACUUUCAAAGAGUCGGAUUGUUUGGGAAUGCAGUCCAAAAUGGGUGGUAAAUUUCAUCUAAAGCUAAAUAUUGGCGAGAGACCGAUAGGCGAACAAGUACCGUGAGGGAAAGAUGAAAAGAACUUUGAAAAGAGGAGUUAAACAGUACGUGAAAUUGUCAAAAGGGAAGCGUUUGACACCAGUGUUGUUUUUCUGAAAAUCAAUUAAAGAACUGUUUAUGCUAAGUUGUUUAGACUUUAUCAGCUAUCUGUUUAGUUUUGAGCUUUUCUUUAAUGCACUUUUCAGUUAACAAGUCAACAUCAAUUUCUUUUGCUGUAAAAAAGCUUGAGGAAGGUGGCUUGAGAUUCGUCUUAAGUGUUUAUAGCCUCUUGCCUAUGCAGUCGGAGAGAUUGAGGUCUGCAGCGUAGAUCCUUCGGGGCUAAAUGCAUUUGUGCUAAGUUAUAGCAUUUUAUAGACAACUUGUUGACUAUGAUUUGUCUUGUAGCUUACUCGCUUAUGUUAUUUUACCUACGCUUAGGAUGUUGACGCAUGAGAUAUACGC
rnacentral:rRNA from 1 species